AGCCACUGAUGACUUUUUUUAAACAUUUUCUGACACCUACUAUGAGCUGCACUGCAGCCUUUGAUUACAAGUUUGAACCUGAGGCUU